rnacentral:rRNA from 1 species
AUUGAACGCUGGCGGCAGGCCUAACACAUGCAAGUCGAGCGAGCGGCGGACGGGAGAGUAAUGUCUGGGAAACUGCCUGAUGGGGGGGGAUAACUACUGGAACCGGUAGCUAAUACCGCAUACCAUCAGAUGUACCCAGAUGUGAUUAGCUAUUGGGUGGGGUAAAGGCUCACCAAGGCGACGAUCCCUAGCGGGUCUGAGAGGAUGACCAGCAACACGGGAACGGAGACACGGCCCAGACUCCUACGGGAGGAAGCAGUGGGGAAUAUUGCACAAUGGGCGAAAGCCUGACGCAGCCAGGCGGCGUGGGUGAAGAGGGCCUUCGGGUUGUAAAGCACUUUCAGCGAGGAGGCGUUACUCGCAGAAGAAGCACCGGCUAACUCCGUGCCAGCAGCCGCGGUAAUUC